GAUGAACGCUGGCGGCGUGCCUAAUACAUGCAAGUCGAGCGAACGGACGAGAAGCUUGCUUCUCUGAUGUUAGCGGCGGACGGGUGAGUAACACGUGGAUAACCUACCUAUAAGACUGGGAUAACUUCGGGAAACCGGAGCUAAUACCGGAUAAUAUUUUGAACCGCAUGGUUCAAAAGUGAAAGACGGUCUUGCUGUCACUUAUAGAUGGAUCCGCGCUGCAUUAGCUAGUUGGUAAGGUAACGGCUUACCAAGGCAACGAUGCAUAGCCGACCUGAGAGGGUGAUCGGCCACACUGGAACUGAGACACGGUCCAGACUCCUACGGGAGGCAGCAGUAGGGAAUCUUCCGCAAUGGGCGAAAGCCUGACGGAGCAACGCCGCGUGAGUGAUGAAGGUCUUCGGAUCGUAAAACUCUGUUAUUAGGGAAGAACAUAUGUGUAAGUAACUGUGCACAUCUUGACGGUACCUAAUCAGAAAGCCACGGCUAACUACGUGCCAGCAGCCGCGGUAAUACGUAGGUGGCAAGCGUUAUCCGGAAUUAUUGGGCGUAAAGCGCGCGUAGGCGGUUUUUUAAGUCUGAUGUGAAAGCCCACGGCUCAACCGUGGAGGGUCAUUGGAAACUGGAAAACUUGAGUGCAGAAGAGGAAAGUGGAAUUCCAUGUGUAGCGGUGAAAUGCGCAGAGAUAUGGAGGAACACCAGUGGCGAAGGCGACUUUCUGGUCUGUAACUGACGCUGAUGUGCGAAAGCGUGGGGAUCAAACAGGAUUAGAUACCCUGGUAGUCCACACCGUAAACGAUGAGUGCUAAGUGUUAGGGGGUUUCCGCCCCUUAGUGCUGCAGCUAACGCAUUAAGCACUCCGCCUGGGGAGUACGACCGCAAGGUUGAAACUCAAAGGAAUUGACGGGGACCCGCACAAGCGGUGGAGCAUGUGGUUUAAUUCGAAGCAACGCGAAGAACCUUACCAAAUCUUGACAUCCUUUGACAACUCUAGAGAUAGAGCUUUCCCCUUCGGGGGACAAAGUGACAGGUGGUGCAUGGUUGUCGUCAGCUCGUGUCGUGAGAUGUUGGGUUAAGUCCCGCAACGAGCGCAACCCUUAAGCUUAGUUGCCAUCAUUAAGUUGGGCACUCUAAGUUGACUGCCGGUGACAAACCGGAGGAAGGUGGGGAUGACGUCAAAUCAUCAUGCCCCUUAUGAUUUGGGCUACACACGUGCUACAAUGGACAAUACAAAGGGCAGCGAAACCGCGAGGUCAAGCAAAUCCCAUAAGGUUGUUCUCAGUUCGGAUUGUAGUCUGCAACUCGACUACAUGAAGCUGGAAUCGCUAGUAAUCGUAGAUCAGCAUGCUACGGUGAAUACGUUCCCGGGUCU
rnacentral:rRNA from 1 species